UCCAGACUCCUACGGGAGGCAGCAGUAAGGAAUAUUGGUCAAUGGGAGAGAUUCUGAACCAGCCAAGCCGCGUGAGGGAAGACGGCCCUAUGGGUUGUAAACCUCUUUUGUCGGAGAACAAAACCCGGGACGUGUCCCGGACUGCGUGUAUCCGAAGAAAAAGCAUCGGCUAACUCCGUGCCAGCAGCCGCGGUAAUACGUAGGGAGCAAGCGUUGUCCGGAUUUAUUGGGUGUAAAGGGUGCGUAGACGGAGAAGCAAGUUAGUUGUGAAAUCCCUCGGCUUAACUGAGGAACUGCAACUAAAACUACUUCCCUUGAGUACUGGAGAGGAAAGUGGAAUUCCUAGUGUAGCGGUGAAAUGCGUAGAUAUUAGGAAGAACACCAGUGGCGAAGGCGGCUUUCUGGACUGAAACUGACGCUGGGGCACGAAAGCGUGGGGAGCGAACAGGAUUAGAUACCCCGGUAA
rnacentral:rRNA from 1 species